AAGUUUUUAGUUUAUAUAAAAUAUUUGUUUUCGGUACGGAAGAUUUUUAAAACUUG
rnacentral:tRNA from 1 species